UUUAAUGGCGCUUUCCCACUCCACACCAAUGGGGCGGCGUACAUCAAAAAGGAGGUCAAAAAUCCGUCCGGCUCGCGGUGCGGCAGUGUGGAGACCUGUCGUAAAAGGAACACGUUCUAUAAAAAUCGAACGGUUUUGAGAUGAUUUUUGCGGAGGCUGGAUCAUCAGAGCUGAGAACAUGAGU
ncrna:unclassified sequences malK-I RNA